UCCGGUUUGUCACCGGCAGUCUCCCAUGAGUCCCCAACUGAAUGCUGGCAACAUGGAACGGGGGUUGCGCUCGUUGCGGGACUUAACCCAACAUCUCACGACACGAGCUGAUGACAGCCAUGCAGCACCUGUGCACGAUCUCCGAAGAGGGGCUCUCGUUUCUGAGAGCUUGCUCCUGCAUGUCAAGCCUAGGUAAGGUUCUUCGCGUUGCGUCGAAUUAAACCACAUGCUCCACCGCUUGUGCGGGCCCCCGUCAAUUCCUUUGAGUUUUAAUCUUGCGCCCGUACUCCCCAGGCGGGGUGCUUAAAGCGUUAGCUGCGCCACUAAGAAGUUUUACCUUCCCAACGGCUAGUUGACACCGUUUACGGCGUGGACUAC
rnacentral:misc_RNA from 1 species